GUGUCAGCAGCCGCGGUAAUACGAAGGGGGCAAGCGUUGUUCGGAAUUACUGGGCGUAAAGGGCGCGCAGGCGGCUCGUUAAGUCAGAUGUGAAAGCCCCGGGCUCAACCUGGGAAUAGCAUUUGGGACUGAUGGGCUAGAGAUCGGGAGAGGAGAGUGGAAUUCCCAGUGUAGAGGUGAAAUUCGUAGAUAUUGGGAAGAACACCGGUGGCGAAGGCGGCUCUCUGGACCGAUACUGACGCUGAGGCGCGAAAGCGUGGGGAGCAAACAGGAUUAGAAACCCCAGUAGUCC
rnacentral:rRNA from 1 species